rnacentral:tRNA from 1 species
CGGGAAGUAGUUCAAUUGGCAGAAUGCAGGCUUUGGGCGCUUGUGGUUGCAAGUUCAAGUCUUGCCUUCCCGACAA